AGUCGUCAUGAACUGGGAGUGAAGAACUCUGAGGCGAAGCUGUACAGAGAAGUAACCUGGAGGGAUUGUUACACAAUGCAGACAUCACCUUCUAUUUUGUUAAUCUAAUGAUGUAUCGCAGCGUGCUCGUUAGCAAGCUCUGCCUUUAUUAGUACAAGACAGUCAAGCCAAGCGAGCGGUACAGAUGGGCAAUUGGAAGUUUUCCUUUUCAUUUACCAAUCACUCUGCUUAAAGAAGUAUGUGAGGAGUGUUGAGGGUUUCCCAAGGUGUGAGAGACGGC
ensembl:lincRNA Gm14532 predicted gene 14532